CAAGCCUCCUUAGAAUAAGAGCGUGCUCCAGCUCCCAGUUAAAUAUGAUCCUAAAUUCAAGGUCCAACCUUUGCUACUGCGUUAAGAAUCAGUAAAAGGAUACCUACAAAAGAGACAGAGGAGGUUCCUUUGACCUGAACCUAAACCUAAACAGAGGAUGGAUGAGAUAUAUGACUUCUUAAAAUCACGGGAUGUUUCAGAGGAAGUCAUACAACGACUGCAAAAGGAUAAGAUUGACUCCAGUGUCCUUCUGCUCAUGACAGAUGAGCAGCUUAAGGAGUAUCUCCCAUCUUAUGGUGACCGACUGGCACUUCUCGGAUAUUGCAGACGAAGGGAAAAUGAUCCUGCUGGCCGGAAAUCAAAACUUUUUGACAGAUUGAGAGUCAAGAUUUCAAGGAACACAGGCAACAAUCAAAAGCAGAUCUCAGAAAAUGUUAGCAUCAGAAAUGCUCAAAAAACUGUUCGAAAAGUUGAGAUAGGAUGGAUGAAUUCUCAAGAUGGGAAUUUUUUUCAAGUUCGGACAAAGAAAGGUGGUGGAACAAGAAAAAUUGAUGUGUCAAAGGAAUGUAGAAAAAAUGACUUAAUUGAAAAG